rnacentral:snRNA from 1 species
GCUUUGGCAGCAUAUAUUGGAAUGAUACGGAGAAGAUUAGCAUGGCCCUUGCACAAGGAUGACAUGCAAAUUCAUGAAGCAUUCCAUAAAAUA